rnacentral:rRNA from 1 species
UACAGGGGGUGCAAACGUUGCUCGGAAUUAUUGGGCGUAAAGGGCGCGUAGGCGGGAGAAUAAGUCAGAUGUGAAAUUCCAAAGCUCAACUUUGGAGCUGCAUUUGAAACUAUAAUUCUAGAGGAUUGACGGGGAAAACGGAAUUCCACGUGUAGCGGUGAAAUGCGUAGAUAUGUGGAAGAACACCUGUGGCGAAAGCGGUUUUCUAGUUAAUACCUGACGCUGAGGCGCGAGAGCAAGGGGAGCAAACAGG